rnacentral:misc_RNA from 1 species
CCCAUCGCGGCUGGACUGUCUGAGUUCCGUGGCCGCACCAUCGCUGCCACCACCGCCCCCCUCCCCCUCCUUUCGCUUCGUUUGUGUGCUGUGUGUGUUUUGUGUGUCUUGUCUCACCGCCAUUGACAUCAUCGACGUCUGCGCUUCUAAAGACCGAAAAGAGUGCCAUCUCCGACACGCGCACGUCGACCCGCUCGCAUCCCUUUUCCUGUUGGCGCACCUUCUCCGCUUGCAGCUCAGAUACGGUUGAGCAGAGCUCGACUCACGUACACGCCUGCGGAAUUUGUGUGUCCUUCCUCACGCUCUACCGUUGCACCCAUGUCAUCCGCAGGAAACCACCCCGUGUACACGCACCUUUUCCGGCCGUGCCGCGUGGGCCGGCCGACCAUGAAGAACCGCAUGAUCAUGUCGCCGCUGACGCGGUGCCGCGCCGAUGACAACCACGUGCCGACUGCCAUCAUGACGGAAUACUACGGCUCUCGCGCCUCGAUGGGGAUGAUUAUCACGGAGGCUAUCAUGGUUCAGUGCAACUACUCCGGCUUCGCGUAUGAGCCCGGCCUGUACUCGGCGGAGCAGGUGGAAGCGUGGCGCGCCAUCACGGAGGCUGUCCACGCACGUGGUGGGCUGAUCGCGGCUCAGAUUUACCACGCAGGCCGCGCCACUACACCGGCCAACCUCACAUCGGACGGCUUGGUGCCGAUAGGUCCGUCCGCGAUGGGUAUUCCACCGGAGGCUCAGCAGUGCAUUGCGCAGUGGAGCCGCGACGGCAAGGCACAGGCCUACGCGCAGCGCAUCCAUGCCAUGACGUCGGCCGAGAUCGGCGCCGCGGUGAAGUUCUUCACCCGCGCAGCUCGCAACGCAAUGGCUGCCGGCUUUGACGCGGUGGAAAUCCACGCCGGCGGUGGCUACCUGCUGGACUCUUUCCUGCGGGAUGCUGCAAACCUGCGCACGGACGAGUACGGUGGCAGCAUGGAGAACCGGUCUCGCUUUCUCCUGGAGGUGGUCGACGCCGUUGCAGCGGCGAUCCAGCCGGAUCGCGUUGGCGUGCGUCUGACGCCGCUGGACACAUUCAAUGGCGCAAAGGACAGCCACCCCGAGGCGCUCACCACGUACGUGUGCCAGCAGCUCGACGCUCGCGGCAUUGCAUUUGUCGACAUCGUCCGUGGGGACUCGAGGGCCAAUGUGCCGGGGAACGCAGAGGUGUGGGUGCGCCGCUCCUUCAGCGGCGCUGUUCUGGCGGGUCAGGGGUACACAUCGACGGACAUGGCGGAGCAGGCGAUCGCGGACGGCACCGUCGACGCCGUGCUGUUUGGCGAGCAAGCUGUCUCGAAUCCGGACCUCGUCUGGCGAGUGCUCACAAAUGCCCCGUUCAACCGCGCCGAUAAGUCGACCUUCUUUACCCGGGGCAGCAAGGGGUACAUUGACUAUCCCGUCUGCGAGCCGCACAGCUUCUCCGAUCCGCGUGUUGUGGCCGGCAUGAAGACCCGCUCUGGAGGGGACAGCAGCCGUCGCUUGUCGUGCCAGUGCUCCACCUCCAUGACGAUGCCGGCAAAGGAGCGUCCAUACUUUGCGGUAUCACAGCCGCUGCUGCUCGGCGCGACGACAAUGAAGAACCGUCUUGUCAUGGGCCCCAUGCCUCGCCAGCGGUGCGAUGCGCAGCAGUGCCCGACCGCCAUGAUGGAAGCCUACUAUGCACGCCGCUCCAGUUACGGUCUGAUUAUCAGCGAGCCGUGCGAGGUACAACCCAGUUACAACACGUACGUUCGGGGUGCGGCCAUCUCGACGAAGGCACAGGUGCAGGCCUGGCGCAAGAUCACGGAUGCCGUGCAUCAGGAGGGGGGCCUCAUGUACUGCCAGCUGCACCACGGAGGUCGGGCAACGCUGCCGUGCAACAUUACCAACGGCAAAGAGAAGCGGGCUGUGGGCCCCACGACGCAGGGCAUCUCGGCCGACUACCGCUGCCCGGCCGCCUUCGCCGCGGACGGAAAAGAUCAGCCAUAUCCCGCCGAGGUGGUGAGGCUGAGUGCGGAGAAGCUCAAGUGGAUUGUGAAGCUGUACGUAGCGGCGGCAAAGAACGCGAUGGUGGCCGGCUUUGACGGCGUCGAGAUCCACGCCGGUGGAGGCUACCUGAUCGAUCAGUUCCUGCGCAAGUGCAGCAACACCCGCGACGACGACUACGGCGGCUCGCCUGCGGGCCGCUGUCGAUUGCUGGAUGAAAUUGUGGACGCAGUGGCCGCGGCCAUUGGCCGGCGGCGGGUCGGCGUACGCGUAUCCCCAACGGAUCUCUCCAAGGGGAUGAAGGACACCGAUCAAGACGUGGUGGCAGAAACUGUUGCGACGCACAUGGCGGAGCGCAAGAUCGCUUACAUUACCGUGGCGAGCGGCAGUGACGGUUACUACCACGGGCCAGUGCCUGCCUGCAUCCUGAAGAAGGUCCUGCAAUGCUUCGGCGGUGUUGUCAUGUGCGACGACAACACCAGCCUGGCCGAGGCAGAGAAGCGUGUGGUGGCGGAUGCCGUGCAGGGUGUGUGCAUCACACUGGGUGCAAUCGCUAACCCGGACAUCAUGAACCGAGCCAUCCACGGCGUUGCGCCCGCCGAGCCGGACAUGCACACUCUCUUCACGCAUAACAGCGACGGCUACGACUCGUACCCGACGUAUGCGGAGAUACGGAAGGAGGCGCGGGCGGAGCAAGCGCGCCAGUCAGCGGUGAACAGAUCCCACUACUCCCCUCCGAUGUUGAACCGCAGCACCCCUGUUGCGAUGAACAAUAAUAAGAGCCUCAAAGCCCCUUUUGUGCACUGAUCACAGCGCGGCCACGUCGACCAGCCGAGGAACCCAGCCAACCCCCUCUGCUCAAGGCACCGAGGGCAGGCGCGCCUGCACUCCUGGCCCGUACGGCCACCGCGGAGUCCGACACGUCUCUCAGGUUUAGGUGUACGGUGACAGUUGCGCGAGUCGACGCGAGUGCGUGGCGCUUCGGCAGUGCCGAGGUAAACCGUCGACGCGGCACGACGCAGUGCAGACGAAGCCGAAGACAAAAUAAACGAAGUCUUGCGAUGCUGCGCUCUCCGUCUACUGUGUUGAAGCACUCGCCUACCUUCACACCCUCCUUGACCCACACAUACGUGGACAUGCACUAUGUACGCGGACGUUCACCAAACGGAUGCCCUUCUCCCCCUGUAUAGCUCUCUUCCUCCCUGCCUAUCGCUCGAUCUUCCGCUGCUGCCUUUUCUCUUUCUGCAAUGUAUGUGCAUGUUGUUGUAACAAUACUGGUCGGCGUGUAUAUUGGCAGCUGUGCUGCGUGCGUCUCCUCCUGUCGCCUCGCGGCAUCCUUUUUUUUUUUUAGUUUAGCUUGUCACGUCCAUCAUUCUAGCCUCGCUUCGCUUGUUGUAUUUCUGAAUCUCCGCGUUUCUGUUCGGCUGCAAGGGGUUUCGCCGCUCCUUCUCUCUAUUUCUGUCUCUCUCUUUUUCUGUCUGCCCACCCGCACCUCUUUAACAUGUAAACGUGUACACACGCAUAUACGCACACGUCAUCUCGCUUCGUUUUUUUUUUCGUUUUUUCCUGAACUUUUUUCGGUGUGUGCUCGGCUGCCCCUUCUCCCCCUCUCAUGCGGGCGCUCCGUGUCGGUUCCGUUUGCACGCCUUGCUCCCCUCGUGCAGGUGUCACGAGAGAGCGAGAGGCGAGCGUGGUUCGGUGUAUGGGUCGACAUGCGCGACGUGUGGUGUGUUUUGAGUGAAGAACGCGCGCGCGUGCGUGCGUGCACCGGCGUGCUUGUUUGCUUUCUUUCUCUCUCGCCGAUUGCUGUUCUUUGUCUAUGCAGCGUCGGCGCCAUGUAGCGCAACACACCGCGUACACAGCGCGGACGGAGGUCGAUGCGCCGUUGGCGCGCACGCGCAUACAUGCAUAACGGCUCCUUUUCCCUCACACCGCGUCUUCUCUGCUCCGCACUGACACCGCCCUCCGCGACUGAUGCGACUGCCUCCUCUUCUUUGGUUUUCUCCUGAGAAUCAACAAAAUCACAGAAGCGAGCGCAGCGAAAAGAAGGCUGUCACCGGGGGUGGUGUGUGUGUGUGGGUGUGGGUGGGAGUAGGGGGCGGAUCUGCAGCAGCUACUGCCUAUGCGAGUGGGUAUCGGACUCCUCGUGGGACCGUAGACGUGCUUGCAUACGCCGCCACACAUUUGAGCACUUCAUCGACAUUUCGUGCCCUUCUGAGCAUUUUUCUCUUGUUUCCGUUUCCAUCUUUAUGUGUGUGUCUCUUCUCUGUCGUUUUUCUAUUCCGCCUCCUCGCCCAUGUCUCAUUCCUGCAUCUAUUCCGCACGUCAUGCCCCGCCAGCAUAGGAUGAGCGGUAUGCCAGACAGAUGCCAUGGGCUCGCCCCUCUCCACCUUCAUGUCGAGAGGAAAACGAAAGAAAGCGCUGCCGGCCACGGCGCACGGGAGGGAAGGGGAGAGAAGGCUGCGCUCUCCUUUCGCAUUCUUUUUGGUGGGUCCUCCCCGCUUUAACGGUGCGCCGCGUGUGUGGCGACUCUUCACAUCUACCCACAUCCUCUCUCUCUUUUUCUCAAAAAAAAAAAACACACACACACACACCUGCACUCCCUACCUCCUGCGGAUUCUGGUUGCUCGCUUUUCUCUUGUCGUUUUAG